rnacentral:rRNA from 1 species
GAUGAACGCUAGCGGCAGGCUUAACACAUGCAAGUCGAGGGGCAGCAUGAAGGUUAGCAAUAACCCUUGACGGCGACCGGCGCAAGGGUGCGUAACGCGUGAGCAACUUGCCCUUAUCAGGGGGAUAACCGGUGGAAACGCCGACUAAUACCCCAUGGCAUUGAGUUGAGGCAUCUCUACUCAAUUAAAGAAUUUCGGAUAAGGAUAGGCUCGCGUGACAUUAGCUAGACGGCGGGGUAACGGCCCACCGUGGCGACGAUGUCUAGGGGUUCUGAGAGGAAGGUCCCCCACACUGGAACUGAGACACGGUCCAGACUCCUACGGGAGGCAGCAGUGAGGAAUAUUGGUCAAUGGUCUGACGACUGAACCAGCCAUGCCGCGUGAAGGUCACGGCCCUAUGGGUCUUAAACUUCUUUUAUACGGGAAUAAAACCUCCCACGUGUGGGAGCUUGUAUGUACCGUAUGAAUAAGCAUCGGCUAACUCCGUGCCAG